GGGGAUGUAAAGGUUUCGACGGGGAUUUCAAACCUUGGUAAGCGAGCGGCGGUGCGGAACCGCCAUAAAAUCCGCAACUUUAAAAUUAACUGACAACAAAACAGUUGCUUUAGCAGCCUGAGUGCUGCUCGUUCCUGCACAGAGUACCUCGGCUGUGUAAGGGGCGUCGAUUAGAGGUAAAUGUGAACAGGGGAGCGCUCCGAACUCUGUCACAGCUUAGGAGCUGCCAAAGUGCGUAGCCUGUUGAUGGGCGAUGCACCGAGGGAGAUUUAAAACACCAACUGCGCUCGGAGAAAACCUUGGCAAGAUUUUUUCGGACAGGGGUUCGAUUCCCCUCAUCUCCACCA
rnacentral:tmRNA from 1 species